GCCAGAGAGAGCGCGCACCGGGGGGGCGGGGCGGGCGGCGGGGCGGGGCGGGGCGGGCGGGGCGGGCGGGGCGGGCGGGGCGGGCGGGCGGCGGGGCGGGGCGGGGCGGGGCGGGCGGCGGGGCGGGGCGGGGCGGGCGGGGCGGCGGCGGCCCCCCUCCCCCCCGGGGCGCGGGAGCCCGCGGGGAGGAAAAGGCGGAGGAGCAGGCGCGCGCGCCGCGCCCACUCAAGACGGGCCCCGUCCCACCCCGCAGCGAGCGAGCGUGACGGACUGACCGACCCCGCCCCCGCGGGACCGGGCCAACACCGGCGACGGCGUGGAGAGGCGGGGGAGGACACGCACACGUCCCCCCCUCCAACGCGCGCCGACCCCCAACAACCCGGUGGCGGCGCGCGAGCGAGGGACGGAGCCCCGGACAGGUCGCGCCGAGGCUGGCACAGCAGGCCGGCGCACACGCUCACGCGGGGCGGGGGCCGGGCCGAGACCCGGGCACCCCUCCACCGGGGGGGCGGGCGGGGCGGGGCGGGGCGGGCGGGGCGGGCGGGCGGCGGGGCGGGCGGCGGGGCGGGCGGCGGGGCGGGCGGCGGGGCGGGCGGCGGGGCGGGCGGGGCGGGGGGGGGGGGGGGGGCACGGCGGAGGAAGGGGACGGACGAUCCCCCCCGUCUGCACACAACACCGCCGCCGGGCCGGACGGUGGCGGCGGACACGGAGAGGAGGCCGCAGCGGGCCUGGGAAGCGCCCACACACCAGAGCGCGCCACCGGGUUUGGUAGCCGAACGGAGGAGGCCACGACACGGACGGCCUGGCGGCAAGGGCAACGAGGCGCCGGCGAAGAGCGACGGGGAACAGGACCGCGGGCCAACGGCAAGGGAGCCCCACGGGUUUCCAACCAGGCGCCUCGAGGGGGCGGACCCUGGGGCAAACCCUCGCAGAGGGCCCUCCGGCCCUGCCACCCGCAGCCGCCGCACGACCGGCCCCUGGAACGCUCUCCCGCACACGCGGCGACCCACCACCCGCGCCCCGCCCCGGCCGAACCCCCGACGCGCGCAGCCGGCGCCCCUUUCUCUCUUCUUCCCCCCAUUCCUUCGCUUCACGCGGGGCGGGGGGCGGGCGGCGGGGCGGGCGGGGCGGGCGGGGCGGGGCGGGCGGCGGGCGGGGCGGGCGGCGGGCGGGGCGGGCGGCGGGCGGGGCGGGGCGGGCGGGCGGCGGGCGGGGCGGGGCGGGCGGGGCGGGGCGGGCGGCGGGCGGGGCGGGGCGGGCGGGGCGGGGCGGGCGGGCGGCGGGCGGGCGGCGGGCGGGGCGGGGCGGGCGGCGGGCGGGCGGCGGGCGGGGCGGGGCGGGGCGGGGCGGGCGGGGCGGGGCGGGCGGGCGGCGGGCGGGGCGGGGCGGGGCGGGGCGGGGCGGGGCGGGGC
rnacentral:lncRNA from 1 species